AGAGCGAACGCUGGCGGCAGGCCUAACACAUGCAAGUCGAGCGCCCCGCAAGGGGAGCGGCAGACGGGAGAGUAACACGUGGGAACGUACCCUUCAGUUCGGAACAACCCAGGGAAACUUGGGCUAAUACCGAAUACGUCCGUAAGGAGAAAGAUUUAUCGCUGAAGGAUCGGCCCGCGUCUGAUUAGCUUGUUGGUGAGGUAACGGCUCACCAAGGCGACGAUCAGUAGCUGGUCUGAGAGGAUGAUCAGCCUCACUGGGACUGAGACACGGCCCAGACUCCUACGGGAGGCAGCAGUGGGGAAUAUUGGACAAUGGGCGCAAGCCUGAUCCAGCCAUGCCGCGUGGGUGAUGAAGGCCCUAGGGUUGUAAAGCCCUUUCGGCGGGAAGAUAAUGACGGUACCGCAGAAGAGCCCCGGCUAACUUCGCGCCAGCAGCCGC
rnacentral:rRNA from 1 species